rnacentral:lncRNA from 1 species
CAAUAAGGAUUAGCUUUUAUUGAUAAUAAUAUUAUUUCUUUGUGAUGGUAAUAUGACACCCUAGCUUUUAUUCAGGGCUUAGAGAAAAAUCAGUAACGUGGAAAGUUGCAGGCUCAGUUGUUUCCACAACGACCUGAGUUCAGUGGCAGGAGCAUCACUCCCGCAUGUGAGGUGUCCCGAGUACCAGCAGCUCCAUUGCUCGGCUGGGAAAACAAAGAGGUUGAGAAAUGCGCCUGAGGUAACAAGUAAGUGACAGAACUGAGAUGAAAGCUGGGAUCUCAAAUCAUCAUUCGGGUCCCAAGGCACUUUUAGCAAAGCCAGGCUGAACAAAGAACACUCUUACCUGCAGUUUCAGGUGCCUGGGACCUGCCCCCACCUGGCUCCUCCUUCCCACCGCGUUGCCCUCUCAGAAAGCCACCCGCUGUCACUCAGGCACUAAGGCAGGAAAGCCACAGUCACUCUGUACUUCCUGUUUUCCUUCACCCCCUGCUUCUAAUCAGCGCUCAAGGGGUGUCUGUGUCAUCUCUGAAACUGCUCUCACGUCCAUCCACUUGCCUCGACCUCCACCCCCAGCCUAUUUCAAACCACCUCUUCAUGGGCAUCUACUCUUGCUUUCCUUUCCUUUCCUCUUGGCAGCCAUAGGGAGUUUUCAAAACCCAAAUAUCAUGAUUUCCUGAUCUGCCUAGGACCUCCUAUCAGCUUCCCACUGCCCCAAGAGGAAGUUCAACCAGCCUCCCUUGUUAGUGCCAGCCUAAACCACCCCCCUCCCCCCGGCUCUCGAAGCUCAAACCACACCAGACAGUUUUUCUGUUUCUAGAACAGAGGACAGAGCCCCCAGCCUUUGAAUGCUAUUUCCUCUGCUUAGGACACUGUUUCCUCCUCUGCCUCCCUUUAUCUGACUCAUUCACUCAAAAAUAUUUUGUAUCAAACUCUCACUAUAUUGGCAAACAUUGUUUUAGACCACAGAAAAACACAUAACUUUUUUGUGCCAUAACCUUUGUUAGAAAUCUGGUAAAACCUAUGGACCACUUUCUCAGACUAAUGCCCUUUUUUUUUUUUUUUUGAUGAUGAUGAUGAAUUUUAUAUAAACCUCACUUUAUUAUUUACUUAUCUCACUUGAAUCUCACCACUAUGGUUACAUAAGGUAGCUAUUGCACCUCCUACUUUUCACCCAACAUAUUACCAUUGGGGUUGAAAAGAUUACAUGAACCCUGAUAUGGUAGGUAGAGUAAUGGCCCCCCAAAGAUAUUCAUGCUCUAACCCCUAGAACCUAUGACUAUGCUAUAUUAUUAAAAAAAAAAAAAAAAAAGACUUUCUGAAUGGAAUUAAGGACUUUAAUACAGGGCAGUUAUGCCUAAAGGGAGAUUAGCCUGGGAGUUCCUGUCAUGGCUCAAUGGUUAGUUAAUGAACCUGACCAGUAUCCAUGAGGACGCAGGUUUGGUCCCUGGCCUCGUUCAGUGGGUUAAGGAUCCAGCAUUGUGAGCUAUGGGGGAGUUGCAGACGCAGCUCAGAUCUGGCAUUGCUGUGGCUGUGGUGUAGGCCGGCAGCUGUAGCUCCGACUCGACCCUCAGCCUGGGAACUUCCAUAUGCUGCAGGUGUGGCCCUAAAAAGACAAAAGAUUAAAAAAAGAGAGAGAGAGAUUAGCCCGGAUUAUCCAGAUGAGUCUAAUGUAAUCAAAUGGACCCUUAAGAGUGGAAGACGAAGCAAGGCAGAGGAGUUAAUCAGAUGGAAGGAGAGGUAGGAGAGAUUCGAUACUUGAGAGGGACUUGACCUGCCAUUGCUGGCUUUGGAAAUAGAGGAAGAGGAGUUUCGGCUAUGGCACAGUGGGUUAAGAACCUGACUACAGCGUCUUGGGUCACGGCAGAGGCGUGGGUUCAAUCCCUAGCCCAGCACAGUGGGUUAAAAGAUCUGACAUUGCUGUAACAGAGGUUACAGCUGUGGCUUGGAUUCAGUCCCUGGCCCAGGAACCUCCAUAUGCCUUAGGGGCGGCCUUUAAAAAAAAAAAAAAAUGUGGGAAGAGGGCUGUUAGGUUAAAAUAUGUCCCAGGCUAAUGAUUUUUAAAUUCAUAAAACAAACACAGAGGAUUAUAAAAGAAAUUAAGUGUAUCAAAAUAGUUACCAAAUAUUUUAAAACUGUGAUACAGUAGCAUAUAUGUUUCCUUAUUAUUGCCUCAAACGAGAUCUACCAGUGGGUCUAGAAAACACUUUAACUUCUUGUUAGUGGUCAACA